UGUCUGACUCGUCUGACGUGAAGAAUCUGUACGUGCCAAGCCACUCGAUCCAUCAAACAUACGGUUGAUGUUGAAAAUUAAAAACACUUGUGCGUGCUUCAACUCCGUGGUACUUCGGAUGUUGAUGAUGUUGAGGAACUCGAAUAAAUCAAAAGCAUAACUCCAAACAUAAUUGGAAAUGGACCUGACUUAUAGGAGACUCAAGAAGGAGGAUCCCGCCAGGGGUUCAACGAUGGCUUCAACAAUAUUCUUUGAUCUUUUCUGAGGAUCUGACUCCGAGCAACAUCAAGAACAUAGUUUUGACAGAGAUCCUCCAAUCACUUUCUUUGACCUUCCCGAACUUUGCAGAACAUCACCAUAAAUUCAUUGAUUUUCCGAGCUUUGCGCGCAUUGGCACAUUGUUCUACUGCCUUGCCAAGCUUGGGAAAAUCAAGUAAACGAACACAAUGUUCUUCUCGGAGGCUUCUUGUUUGGUCAACACAAAACUCAAACUCCUCACCAACAACAUCCAUUUCUUUUGAACUUGCCAGGAGACAGAACACUCUUCCUUCAACAAAAA